AUACGGAAGUGGUUGACAAACUAUAACAAGGAAUCUCGACGAGAGGCCGAAUCUUUAGAAAUUGAUCUGGAAGUACGUAGAAGGGGAGAGGAAAGGAUAGUUGAAAGCGUGUUACAUUAAUACGACCUUGAAUGAUGAUCAUGAUGAUGCCGAUCAAAUCAGAGGUCGGCAAACUGUACGAGGCGAAGUAUUUGGUUGGCAGGCUAAAAUAUCGAAUUAAGGGGGUUGAGUCUAAAAUAAGUUAGAUCAAUGAAAGAAAUAAAGUACAAAAUGACUCGAGUUUCAAUUUAAAUCACUCGCAAUGUCAAGGGAGAAGAAAUAAUGUUCUGCUCAACAUGUAACCGAGCGAAACGUGGUCCUAUUUCGGGGGGAAUAAUAACUCCAUUACAUUUUUUUUCUACACUUUACAUUAGACGUAUUGUAUUUCAUUGGAUAUUUCAGCAUUCAUGGAAAUGUACAAAGAUAAUAUGUGCAUUAUUAAUAUUAUACCUAUUAGCAUAAUACUUUUAAUAAAAUCCUUACUUUUAAUCAAAAAUACA